rnacentral:rRNA from 1 species
UUAGGAAUCUUGCGCAAUGGGCGAAAGCCUGACGCAGCAACGCCGCGUGAGGGAUGACGGUUUUCGGAUUGUAAACCUCUUUCAGCAGGAACGAAAUUGACGGUACCUGCAGAAGAAGCUCCGGCCAACUACGUGCCAGCAGCCGCGGUAAUACGUAGGGAGCAAGCGUUGUCCGGAUUUAUUGGGCGUAAAGAGCUCGUAGGCGGCUUAGAAAGUCGGGUGUGAAACCUCCAGGCUCAACCUGGAGACGCCACUCGAUACUUCUAUGGCUUGAGUUCGGUAGGGGUAAGCGGAAUUCCUGGUGUAGCGGUGAAAUGCGCAGAUAUCAGGAGGAACACCGACGGCGAAGGCAGCUUACUGGGCCGAUACUGACGCUGAGGAGCGAAAGCGUGGGGAGC